CUGCGGAAGGAUCAUUGUUGAGAGAGCAUAUAAUAUAGAAUGACGGAUGGUUGCGAACGCGUGAAUGUGUCCCUCUCUUCGCCCCACCCACGUCACGUGGGCGGGCGAUUGACCGAAGCUCGGUGCGAUCGGCACUAAGGAACAACGAACUCGGAAGCGGAGGGCCCCUCGGCGUGCGCAGGGGAGCCCGAUGCGUCGGAGAUUCCUCGGAAUCAAUCAAUCAAACGACUCUCGGCAAUGGAUAUCUCGGCUCUUGCAUCGAUGAAGAACGUAGUGAAAUGCGAUACUUGGUGUGAAUUGCAGAAUCUCGUGAACCAUUGAGUCUUUGAACGCAAGUUGUGCCCGAGGCCUUGUGGCCGAGGGCACGCCUGCUUGGGUGUCAUGGCAUCGUCGCCUCUGCUCCUCCAUGCCUCGUCGGUUGGUAGGUGCCGAGCGCGGAAAUUGGCCCCGUGUGCCCUCGGGCACAGUCGGCCGAAGAGCGGGUAAAAGUCGGCAGUCGCGGGGCACGACGGGUGUUGGUCGCCGUGAGCGGGAACAGAACGUCGUCCCCGUCGUUUUCGGACUGAAUUCCUCAAGAGACCCUGCGUGAUUGCGGCACCGGGCAGCGAAUGAAAGAAAGCGCGCCGUGCUGCCCGUCAUCAACUUGCGGCCCCAGUCAGGCG
rnacentral:misc_RNA from 1 species